GAUGAACGCUGGCGGCGUGCCUAAUACAUGCAAGUCGAGCGAACAGACGAGGAGCUUGCUCCUCUGACGUUAGCGGCGGACGGGUGAGUAACACGUGGAUAACCUACCUCUAAGACUGGGAUAACUUCGGGAAACCGGAGCUAAUACCGGAUAAUAUAUUGAACCGCAUGGUUCAAUAGUGAAAGACGGUUUUGCUGUCACUUAUAGAUGGAUCCGCGCCGCAUUAGCUAGUUGGUAAGGUAACGGCUUACCAAGGCAACGAUGCGGAGCCGACCUGAGAGGGUGAUCGGCCACACUGGAACUGAGACACGGUCCAGACUCCUACGGGGGGCAGCAGUAGGGAAUCUUCCGCAAUGGGCGAAAGCCUGACGGAGCAACGCCGCGUGAGUGAUGAAGGCCUUCGGAUCGUAAAACUCUGUUAUUAGGGAAGAACAAAUGUGUAAGUAACUAUGCACGUCUUGACGGUACCUAAUCAGAAAGCCACGGCUAACUACGUG
rnacentral:rRNA from 1 species